GUGAAUCAUCGAAUUUUUGAACGCAAAUUGCACUCUCCUCGGUGAGUAUGCCUGUUUGAGGGUCAGCGUAUAAAAAAUCGAUAGCGUUUUUUGGUCGCGGUGGUGUUCGUCGGAAAGUGGGUCAUCUUAAAUCUUUUUGGUUUUUAAGCGACUUAAAAUUUUCUUUUUGGUUCCAUGAACGUUUCUAAGAUUUAUUUUUUUACACGUUUAAGGAAUCGAGUUUUAUUAGACGUGUCCAUAAUAUCGGAUCGCGUCCAUGAUCUUUUGUUAACUAAC
rnacentral:misc_RNA from 1 species